UUCUGGCUCAGGAUGAACGCUAGCUACAGGCCUAACACAUGCAAGUCGAGGGGUAGCGUGAGGGAAGCUUGCUCCCUGACGACGACCGGCGAAUGGGUGAGUCACGCGUGUCCAACCUGCCCCGUGCCCGGGGAUAGCCCUUGGAAAUGAGGAUUAAGACCCGAUAUGUGGCGCUUCCGCAUGGCGGCGCCAUGAAGCAGGCACGGGAUGGGGACGCGUCGGAUUAGCUUGACGGCGGGGCAACGGCCCACCGUGGCGACGAUCCGCAGGGGUUCUGAGAGGAAGGUCCCCCACACUGGCACUGAGACACGGGCCAGACUCCUACGGGAGGCAGCAGUGAGGAAUAUUGGUCAAUGGGCGGGAGCCUGAACCAGCCCAAGUAGCGUGCAGGACGACGGCCCUACGGGUUGUAAACUGCUUUUCCGGGAGGAUAAAGUGAGCCACGCGUGGUUCAUUGCAGGUAUCCCGGGAAUAAGGACCGGCUAAUUCCGUGCCAGCCGCGGC
rnacentral:rRNA from 1 species